rnacentral:sRNA from 1 species
GCCCGGUGCAGUGGUGCACGCCUGUAAUCCCAGCAGCUCUGGAGGCUGAGACAGGAGGAUUGUGAGUUGAAAGUCAGCCUCAGCAAAAGUGAGGCACUAAGCAACUCAGUGAGACCCUGUCUCCA